rnacentral:rRNA from 1 species
GCUUUGACUGUAUCCUGGAAUUGGGUUCGGGCUUCUUCUUGCGCAGACUAGGUGGGAGGCAUUGAAGUACUCCUUGUCGGGGAGUAUGGAGCCAUACUUGAGAGACCACUCUGGAGAGGCUAGAAUUCUAACUGGUAGACUCCGUUGAAUCAGGACACUUGACAGUUUCAGGUGGGCAGUUUGUCUGGGGCGGAACGCUCAUAAAAGGUAACUGAGGCGCGCAAAGGUUCUCUCAGUCUGGACGGAAAUCAGACCAUACGAGUGUAAAGGCAUAAGGAGAGCUUGACUGCGAGACCUACAAGUCGAAGCAGGACGAAAGUCUGGUCUUAGUGAUCCGACGGCAUGAGCGUGUGGAAGCGCCGUCGCUCAACGAUAAAAGUUA